CACUCCUGCGGGAGGCAGCAGUGGGGAAUUUUGGACAAUGGGCGAAAGCCUGAUCCAGCCAUGCCGCGUGCAGGAUGAAGGCCUUCGGGUUGUAAACUGCUUUUGUACGGAACGAAACGGCCUUUUCUAAUAAAGAGGGCUAAUGACGGUACCGUAAGAAUAAGCACCGGCUAACUACGUGCCAGCAGCCGCGGUAAUACGUAGGGUGCAAGCGUUAAUCGGAAUUACUGGGCGUAAAGCGUGCGCAGGCGGUUAUGUAAGACAGUUGUGAAAUCCCCGGGCUCAACCUGGGAACUGCAUCUGUGACUGCAUAGCUAGAGUACGGUAGAGGGGGAUGGAAUUCCGCGUGUAGCAGUGAAAUGCGUAGAUAUGCGGAGGAACACCGAUGGCGAAGGCAAUCCCCUGGACCUGUACUGACGCUCAUGCACGAAAGCGUGGGGAGCAAACAGGAUUAGAAACCCCUGUAGUCCC
rnacentral:rRNA from 1 species